rnacentral:rRNA from 1 species
CAGCAGCCGCGGUAAUACGUAGGGUGCAAGCGUUAAUCGGAAUUACUGGGCGUAAAGCGUGCGCAGGCGGUUAUAUAAGACAGAUGUGAAAUCCCCGGGCUCAACCUGGGAACUGCAUUUGUGACUGUAUAGCUAGAGUACGGCAGAGGGGGAUGGAAUUCCGCGUGUAGCAGUGAAAUGCGUAGAUAUGCGGAGGAACACCGAUGGCGAAGGCAAUCCCCUGGGCCUGUACUGACGCUCAUGCACGAAAGCGUGGGGAGCAAACAAGAUUAGAUACCCCAGUAGUCCCUGUCUCUUAUAC